UACAGAGGAGCCAAGCGUUGUCCGGAUUGACUGGGCGUAAAGCGCACGCAGGCGGUCGCGCGCGUGGGGUGUGAAAUCUGGCCGCUUAACGGCCAGGCGCCAUCCCAUACGGCGCGACUGGAGUGAUGCAGAGGUCGGUGGAAUUGCCGGUGUAGUGGUGAAAUGCGUAGAGAUCGGGCAGGAACACCCAGGGGGGAAACCAGCCGACUGGGCAUCUACUGACGCUGAGGUGCGAGAGCGUGGGGAGCGAACCGG
rnacentral:rRNA from 1 species